UUUUUCUUCAAACAGCCUGGAAACUGAACUGCAUCAUAAAACUUGUGCUUGAAAAGUGUCAUGGGACCCAUAUUAAGUUUCCAAAUUUGAUCUGCUGCACACAAGUAGCUUUGAAGAAGAAGGAUCCCAGCUUAAAUAAAAACACGUCACAUCCAUAAUUGUUUGACAUCCUCUUCAAGCACACCUGGUAAAGUAUUGUAUUUUAUAACAUGCAUAAUUCAGACUUGUUGGUUGUUGUGUACUGAAAUAAUAUAUUUAUCACAAAAAACAUUCUAUUACUUACUACUGCUGUUUUAAUACAGUGAGAAUAUUAAGGUCGUUGCUUAAAAAAAGUCCUGCAGAGAAGAAAUAUGUAUUGAAAGGUGUAAAUUUGCCUACAGGAUUCCUUGUUGCAAUGUCUUUAAAAUAAAUGUAAAAAUUAAAGGAUUUCAGUGGUGAGCUCAUAAUGAUGGGAUCAAAAGGAAGUGAACUGGACUCUGAGGGACUUAACACAAGAUUGUGAUGGACCUAGAAUGCGACACCGUUUACGAAUAAGUCAAGAACCAAAUGAAACACUAUUUUCCAGAGCGCAGAUUAUGGAGGGGUCUGCAAAACUAAUGGAGCAGUUUCUUCUUCUUGGAGUGCCACAGCUUGAUGCUGCAUAUAAGGACUUAGUGAAGAACACAGAAACAUCUUUAAAAUAAAUGGCCCAAUAGAAGGGAAGGAAAGAAGGAAGUACUCAGCAUUGAAAUAUUGUUUUACAGAAAUCCAAAGGUCCUAACAGCUCUCCUGAUUCAGUCAAGGCUUGAAGUGUCAGCAUUACGAUGGCCAACACUCGCUCACUAUCCUUCUGCUCCCUCAUUUAUCAGAGGCACCACAGUAGAAUGAAUUAG